AGUUAGCUCUCCUAGCCAUGAUGGAGGGCGGCGUACGGCUCAGUAACAUGUGGUCAAUCUACCCUCAGGACGGAGAUAACCUCGGGAAACUGAGGCUAAUAUCCGAUAGAUAAUGGAUCCUGGAAUGGUUCAUUAUUCAAACGGCACAUUGCUCAUGCGCAGUGUGUCGCCUGAGGAUGAGACUGCACCCUAUCAGGUAGUUGGUGGGGUAACGGCCCACCAAGCCUAUAACGGGUACGGGCCCUGAGAGGGGGAGCCCGGAGAUGGGCACUGAGACAAGGGCCCAGGCCCUACGGGGCGCAGCAGGCGCGAAACCUCUGCAAUGCGCGAAAGCGCGACAGGGCCACCCCGAGUGCUAGCCGCUGAGGUUAGCUUUUCCUUAGUGUAGUAAGCUAAGGGAAUAAGCGGGGGGCAAGCCUGGUGUCAGCCGCCGCGGUAAUACCAGCUCCGCGAGUGGUCGGGACGAUUAUUGGGCCUAAAGCGUCCGUAGCCGGCCUAUCAAGUCUCUGGUUAAACCUCAAGGCUCAACCUCGAGAUUGCUGGAGAUACUGUUAGGCUAGGGGGCGGGAGAGGUUGAGGGUACUUCGCGGGUAGGGGCGAAAUCCUAUAAUCCGCGAAGGACCACCAGUGGCGAAGGCGCUCAACUGGAACGCGCCCGACGGUGAGGGACGAAAGCCAGGGGAGCAAAGGGGAUUAGAUACCCCCGUAGUCCUGGCUGUAAACGAUGCGGGCUAGGU
rnacentral:rRNA from 1 species